rnacentral:misc_RNA from 1 species
GUUGCGUCACAGGUCAUCUUGAUUACGACCUAUGGGUGACAAUAUACUCGAUGUCCAAGGCAUUGCGACUCAACGAGUGGGGAGUUUGAUUUGGUGGGAACAAAUCAAACGAUCUGCGGCAGCAUCGACAUUGACGUGAUUUGCCUUGUUAAUCCUAACACUUUGGGCAAUUUCACGUUGUGUCGAUGUUGUUGGACGGUUCCGUUUUCCCACGUUGCAUUGUUGUUGAUGACAUUCGUCCAAAGGUGACGUGGUGUCAUGUUGCUUCCGUAUCCUAGUUUUGAGCUUUUUGAGCUUAAAAACAUGGAUAAUCGCUUGGUGAUAGACAUCACUCCCUUGGUUGAUGAAAGUCGUCCAAUGAUGUGAUGGCUUGUUUCCUUUGUUCUCGCAUCGCUCGGUGCAUUCUGUGGUCAUUUUGGCUAUUAGCGGCUUGCUUGGCCAUUGGGCUUGGUGGGUGGCUAAUAGUUUGGGUGUCUUCGGGGAUGUCUACCGUAAAGGUGCAUGAGUGGUGUUUGGUUUGUUACGGGUGGUUGGCUCUUUGCUUGCGCAACAACUUCCACCUGGCAUACCUCUUCARUCUUGUGUCAAUGCUUGUAUUGCAUUGAAUGCACGACGGGUUUCUUGUGUUGCAUGCCUAAUCAAUGGUAUCGUUUGAUGAAUAGGUUUCCCUUUCGUCUUGCAUCGCCUAUGCGAUGUGAGAUGAACCUUGAAGCAGCCUUUUUGAUCUACACUUUUGAUGCAUACGCAUUGAUUUUGUGGCCCAUUAAGUAUUGCUUGGUCUCAUGGAUAUGGAACAUGGUGUGGGCAUGGAAUUGUAGUGGUUCCUUGUUUGCCCAAGUUUAGCUUUUCAAAAACGAUUUGUCU